AGAUCUGUCUCCUCCCACUCCACUAUGACCUGGAAACAGUCUCAAGUGUGGCAACUUUUAGUUUUGCAUGCCUGUGGAUUUCAACGCGUUUCCCUUUUUUCCUUCUCAUCCAACUCGUAACCGCCGUGUGUUGUUUUUAUUGUCUUUCUUUUUAAAUCCUUGUCUUCGGGGACCAGUUCCUGAGAUGGUUAAAGAGAAGCCCGGUCGAGCGGUGUCACGCUUUCAGCAGCCGUGGAAACCUUUAGAAGGAAACAAAUGAAUCAAACAUUGCAGUUGUCCUAAAAGAAGAGAGCGAAGGCGCACCGAUUUCUUUUUUGCGAGUAAAUGAAAGAUCUUCCUUCCAUCCAGCGAGGCUGCAGACACAGCUCCCCUAUUCUGCUGUAAUCCUCUCAGCGUCAGCAGCGGCAGCAGCAUUGUGACCCACAAUGAAGACAUUCCAGAUCAGGCAAAACAAGCCAAUGUCCGCACAACAACAACAUCACUUUCAUGUGGUUGUGGGCUCCUUCAUCAAGGCCAGCUGCAGUGGCCGCAAAGGCAGUCAGUCAGGCAGGCAGAGGCGAGGGCGACGUGGACUGCCUGCACUCGGGCUCCAAAAUACACAACACAAGUAGAUCCUCAACACAAGGAAGUGAUCUCUCUUUCCCUGUUUGUUGUAGCACGAGUGCUCGUUUCUGACAAUAUCCUCUGUGCUGCUUCCUUCCCUUCCCCGACAAAUGGAAAAAAAAAAAA